rnacentral:rRNA from 1 species
GGAGUUAGCCGGUGCUUCUUCUGUGAGUGAUGUCCUUCCUGCCGGCUAUUAACCCGCAGGCCUUCUUCCUCACUGAAAGUGCUUUACAACCCGAAGGCCUUCUUCACACACGCGGCAUGGCUGGAUCAGGGUUGCCCCCAUUGUCCAAUAUUCCCCACUGCUGCCUCCCGUAGGAGUCUGGGCCGUGUCUCAGUCCCAGUGUGGCUGAUCAUCCUCUCAGACCAGCUACGGAUCGUCGCCUUGGUGAGCCGUUACCUCACCAACCAGCUAAUCCGACAUAGGCUCAUCCGAUAGCGCGAGGCCCGAAGGUCCCCCGCUUUCCCCCGUAGGGCGUAUGCGGUAUUAGCCUGGGUUUCCCCAGGUUAUCCCCCACUACCGGGCAGAUUCCUAUGCAUUACUCACCCGUCCGCCGCUCGCCACCAGGUAGCAAGCUCCCCGUGCUGCCGCUCGACUUGCAUGUGUUAGGCCUGCCGCCAGCGUUCAAUCUGAGCCAGGAUCAAACUCUGA